rnacentral:lncRNA from 1 species
AUGAACCUAUCCAUGCUAAGGGGGCGCAGGUGGGAGGUGUGUUACAGCCGUGGCUGGGGAUGCAGCGAUGUGGUGGCUCAAGAUGGGGACUUUGAGCCAUGCCAAGACCCCACAAGCGGUGCUGGGGACCCUGCCCCACGGGGCUGUGCAUGGUGCUGCACCCACAGCCGAACACAUGCACCCAGGGGAGCGAUGCAAGGGGGCACGGCACCCUACGGAGCAGCAAAGGCCACUCCAUCCCUGCUUCUCCAUCCUGCUGGGGACCAAAAGAUGCAGAGCCCCUCUCUGAUGCAUUCGCACCCCAGGCAGAAGCCAGGCACUUUCGGGCCCAACGCCCUGCACCCACGCGGGGCAGCACCCGGCGGUGACGCAGCGGGCAGGCACGCAGCGGCGCUGGGUGCUGCCGAGGGAGCCGGGCUCUGGGGGAGGCAAACCAGCACGUCGGGCAGAGCCCAGCACACCUGGAGAGCAGCCCCUGCUCCUCUUGGCCUCCAGCCAGCGCCGGCCGAGCCGUGGGGCUUGCACAACGCUCAGCACCACGCCCCGCGGGGCUCAGCUCCCAGCCCUCUCCCUCCUGCCCCUUGCUGCGGACCCAUGGCUGGAGCUGGCACCGGGCUGAGCCGGGAAGGUGGGUGCUGGGUGGGUGGGUGCUGGGUGGGUGGGUGCCGGGCGGUGUCACCCAUGGAGCCCCAGGAAUUUGGGGGAUUUGCAGGUGGCCAUCCGGGGGGGCUGGAGACGGGCUCUGGUCCUUGUGGGGUGUGCAGGGGUGAUGGGCUCCAGCUUGUGCUCGGCAGCUUUUGGGUGCGGAGGGGAAAGUGGCAGCUCCCCACUCCUGGUCUUACAGCUGAUGUGGAGGAAGGGCUGGGCUUGCCCCCACCCCGGUGGUGUGUGCUGCUGGGGGUGGAGGCUCUGCGGGGCUCAGACGUGGUGCUGAGGUGUGCAGGGAUGAGCAGAAGCGCUGCCCUGCUGCAGGACCCCCGGCACAGCACCGUGCACCCCAGGCUGUGCUCCUCGGGGCGUCCCAGCACCAGCAGCACAGGUUGGCCACGCACACCCUCAGGGCUGGGCUCUCGGCAGCCCCACGGGCUCCGGGCAGCACUCGAGGCUCUGAUCCUUCCCCACAGCCCCUGGACACCGUGCCACGUUGUGCAGCCCUGCCUGGAUGUAAGAGAGCAGCAAGGGGACCCCGAACACCCGGCUGUGAUCGUGCCACCAGCCAUGCCCCGAGCUGGGCAGUUCCUGACCCCCAGCCCCCGGUAA